rnacentral:rRNA from 1 species
UGAGGAAUAUUGGUCAAUGGGUGCAAGCCUGAACCAGCCAUCCCGCGUGAAGGACGACUGCCCUAUGGGUUGUAAACUUCUUUUGUAUAGGGAUAACCCUACGCUCGGGAGGGUAGCUGAAGGUACUAUACGAAUAAGCACCGGCUAACUCCGUGCCAGCAGCCGCGGUAAUACGGAGGGUGCAAGCGUUAUCCGGAUUUAUUGGGUUUAAAGGGUCCGCAGGCGGACUUAUAAGUCAGUGGUGAAAGCCUGUCGCUUAACGAUAGAACUGCCGUUGAUACUGUAAGUCUUGAGUAUAUUUGAGGUAGCUGGAAUAAGUAGGGUAGCGGUGAAAUGCAUAGAUAUUACUUCGAACACCAAGUGCGAAGGCAGGUUACCA